rnacentral:rRNA from 1 species
UAAGGUGGUUAUAGCGGUGGAGAUACACCUCUUCCCAUUCCGAACAGAGAAGUUAAGCCCGCCUACGCCGAUGGUACUGCCGUCAAGGUGGAAGAGUAGGUAGCCGCCAACC